UUUUCAAGUGUAUGUUCCAACCAGGUAUCGUGGUCUGGUGGUAAAGGAACCUCGACUGAGACGUCCGACACCCGGAUUCGAUUUCUGGUCACCAGAGAAUUAACAUGCGGAUUUGCUCUAGCGCCUCAGACCACCAGUUCCAGGGAGCCAUUAAGUAGAUGUUUAAAAAUUCCUGGUCGCGGGCUUAAACCCAGUGGACUAGUCAGAUCACUGUGUGGUCUGGACACUAAGUUGUCAAAAAAAA
rnacentral:sRNA from 1 species